rnacentral:piRNA from 1 species
CCAUGGCCUGUGCUCUCAAGCGGGA